rnacentral:rRNA from 1 species
UACGAGGGGGGCAAGCGUUGUUCGGAAUUACUGGGCGUAAAGGGCGCGUAGGCGGUGUGUCAAGUCAGGCGUGAAAGCCCCGGGCUCAACCUGGGAACCGCGCUUGAGACUGGCACGCUAGAGUUCGGGAGAGGAUGGUGGAAUUCCCAGUGUAGAGGUGAAAUUCGUAGAUAUUGGGAAGAACACCGAUGGCGAAGGCAGCCAUCUGGGACCGACACUGACGCUGAGGCGCGAAAGCGUGGGGAGCAAACAGG